UUUCUAUUCAGGAUCCCGGUCUGGAAAACUAGAUGGUGUAUGGAUUCAGAGAUGAACAUGACGAACGAUAGAAGGUCGAUUUGGAUUAUUCUUGGUCCAUAACUUUCAAUUAUUCCACUGCCACACAACUGUGCUUGUGCUGGCAGGGAGAGGAGGAGAAGUAAGGCGUUGUGGGCAGGGACUGGCUGUGGGUACAAGAAGGCCAGAUAUGAGAUGGUGGAAAGGAUGCACGCAGGAGAAGAGAACAGACUGCAACGGAAGGCAGUUUGAGAUGUAGUAGUGGACGCCUCUUCCAUGAUAUUCAGCAAUCUGCGUGUUCAGUGAUGCCGCACACGUCCUCUCAUCUCGUCACGAACGGCCUGGAUGUGGCAGCUGCCGUCAACAUCCCAACCGUCACCAGCACGACGUGUUGAAUGACAUUGGCAUCGUCUCACUGGGGCAGCAGCUCAACACCGGCAUUAUUCUGGUAAUGCAAGUCCCGCUCCAUCUCCUCUGUUUGCAGUCAUUGUUCCAAUAUUACUGGAGAUAAAAUCCAUUCUAGCUAUCGUUGCAGAAGAUCAUUUGGUGGUGUUCGAUCCAGACUAAAAAAUUAUUUCAUGUUGUUUUCAGUAAUUAUGAUCAGCUCAGCCGUAAGAUAUAGAGAGAUCAAUCACAUCCGAUCUUCGAUUUAAUGUAAAUUAGGUGAUUUACUGAACCGCGGGUUGCCUGUUUCAUGAACAGUACUGCCAUUUUAAACAAUCUAGGA